GAGCACUAGCCGUAGAGAUGCGCAUGCAAAGACGGUCGGCCCGCAUCCGCGUACACGCUUUCCGCUAAAAUUGACUCCGCGGAUUUCCACGCACUCAACCAUUGGUGCAGCGGCUCACUCUGGAGGAAAGGCAUUU